GACGAACGCUGGCGGCGUGCUUAACACAUGCAAGUCGAACGGAAAGGCCCUGCUUUUGUGGGGUGCUCGAGUGGCGAACGGGUGAGUAACACGUGAGUAACCUGCCCUUGACUUUGGGAUAACUUCAGGAAACUGGGGCUAAUACCGGAUAGGAGCUCCUGCUGCAUGGUGGGGGUUGGAAAGUUUCGGCGGUUGGGGAUGGACUCGCGGCUUAUCAGCUUGUUGGUGGGGUAGUGGCUUACCAAGGCUUUGACGGGUAGCCGACCUGAGAGGGUGACCGGGGACAAGGGGCCUGUGGUACGCACCAGACGGGUAGAGGGGGCAGCAGGGGGGAGUAGGGUACAACGGGCGGGUGCGGGAGAAGGACUCGCUGGGGGGGGGAAGACGGUUUGCGGGGAAAGAAAAGCUGUAGGUUGAGACGAAGCGGGCGUGAAGGGAAUGAAUAAAGAAGCAACGGCUAACUUCGUG
rnacentral:rRNA from 1 species